GUGCCAAACCACCUCCUCAGGUGUUGCCACCCAAGCCUCCACUCACCAAUUUCUCCAUUUAUACCCUCAUUACCACCACCUUAAACCCUACCACAUUAAUUACUCACUCUUCACUCAAAACUCUUGUCUUUCAUUUUGAUAAUUCCCACACUAUGGCUGAGCUUCACUACCAACAACAACACCAAUACCCUCACCGAUACCCUAAUGAUCCAUACGAACAACAAACUAGCUACUCCACUCAGGUCGUCAAGGCGGCCACCGCCGUCACCGCGGGCGGCUCCCUCUUGAUCCUCGCCUCGUUGAUCCUUGCCGGCACCAUCAUCGCCCUCACCAUCGUCACACCACCGCUCGUCAUCUUCAGUCCGGUUCUCGUCCCCGCGGUGAUCACCGUCGCGCUGCUGAGCCUGGGGUUCCUUGCCUCCGGCGGGUUCGGUGUGGCGGCGAUCACGGUGCUGGCGUGGAUCUACAGGUACGUCACCGGGAAGUACCCACCUGGCGCGGAUCAGUUGGACAGCGCGCCUCACAAGAUCAUGGACAAGGCGCGUGAGAUCAAGGACUAUGGACAGCAGCAAAUCAGUGGGGUGCAGGCUUCUUAAUCGUGUGCACGCACGCACCCGAUCAAAUCCAUCUCGUGG
rnacentral:lncRNA from 1 species